AUCUGUACACACAUUAUCAGCGGAGGAGGGUAGGGGAGAUUGAUGAUGCUAGGCUUAAGUUUGAACUUAAUACUAUGCUUUCGAGGGAGGGGAUUGAAGUAUGUAUGGUUCCAUCUCCUGAUAGGCCAGAGGAAGUAAAAUUUUCUGUACACUUAAUUGAUACGGACUUAAACAAGUUAGUUACAUCAUGCAAUUGGAAACAUCAGUAGAA